AGUUGGAGAAAAAAAAAGACACUCACCCAAUGGGAAAUACCUUAUGAUCAAGUGUGAGGUGGUGUGUCUCGACUGUAUAGCAAAGAAGGGCAGAAUAAGAAGAGCCAUCAUUUGUUAAGGGCUUAAUAUGUGCCAAGAGUUGUCUACACACCAUCUCUAAUAGUCCUUAUGGUCAGAUCAGGAUGGGUUCUCCAUGGAACAGGUCAAGUUUACUCAGGAGUUUGAAGCUUUGAUUGACAUCAAACUUUCCAAUUGUAAACAAGGACCAUGGUUUUAAGCUAACAUUGACCUAAUCUUGUUAUUCCUGACCUUUUUCAAUCUAUGUCAGCAUAAACUAAUUUGUUUUUUUACCAAAUGUAAUCUUUUCCUGAACAGAAAUAACUUUAUAAGGUGAAAAGAAAGCUUUAUUUUUUCUUUCUGUCUACCUUCAACUCUAUAGAAUGGACUAGUUCUUCACCUUUUAAAUGAUUUCCAUGGUGGGUCUCAUAGAUUUUCCAAUCAUUAUUAAAAACAAAAACAUCCUUUGGUCACCUUUUGACACAAGAAGUGUCACUUAAUUAUUCUGAAUCUCCAGGCCAUGCAUAAUCUCACAACUGCAUAGUCUUACCUUAUUUGAAGCUUAUCCUCAGUGUUGAGAGUGUUUCAGGCUGAGAGACUUGCAGUGUUUGGGUUCUCCUUUGUUUCUUUCUCAUUUUAUUGCUUCCUCACGCAGUGUGCAAGCUCUGGGGUCUGAUCCUCCAGGGAUGGACCACUGUUAAAAGGAUUGGAGAAAAAGACUCAGGUUUACAUGGCCACUGUUGUGACAAUCUGGAACUGACAGUCUGGGGACUCUGAUAUUUAAAGAAGGCUCUUUAGAUUCUUCUGCCUGGAAUUUCCAACUACAGUAUUCAAAUAUUGUCCUUUUUCCUGAGUGACCACUGAGGACUUCAACCAACACUUAGUCGUAGACAUCAGAUUUCACCCCACCAAGAUCCUUUCUGUUGAAACCCCAGUGCCUUUUCAAGUGGCUUUCUCCUUCAGGUGUAUCUCUUGGAAUUCUAUAAACCUGAAGACUAAUCUUUUAGAAAAAUCAUCAGAAGGAGGGAAUUUGUGGAAAUAAAACUGGAAACAUUCAGAAUC
ensembl:lncRNA